rnacentral:rRNA from 1 species
GACGAACGCUGGCGGCGUGCUUAACACAUGCAAGUCGAACGGAAAGGCCCCUUCGGGGGUCCUCGAGUGGCGAACGGGUGAGUAACACGUGAGUAACCUGCCCUUGACUUCGGGAUAACUUCAGGAAACUGGGGCUAAUACCGGAUAGGAAUCCUUGCUGCAUGGUGGGGGUUGGAAAGCUUCGGCGGUUUUGGAUGGACUCGCGGCUUAUCAGCUUGUUGGUGGGGUAGUGGCUUACCAAGGCUUUGAAGGGUAGCCGGCCUGAGAGGGCGACCGGCCACAUUGGGACUGAGAUACGGCCCAGACUCCUACGGGAGGCAGCAGUGGGGAAUAUUGCACAAUGGGCGGAAGCCUGAUGCAGCAACGCCGCGUGCGGGAUGACGGCCUUCGGGUUGUAAACCGCUUUCAGCAGGGGCGAAGCUUGUGGUGACGGUACCUGCAGAAGAAGCACCGGCUAACUACGUG